GUGAAUCAUCAAAUUUUUGAACGCAAAUUGCACUCUCUUCGGAGAGUAUGCCUGUUUGAGGGUCAGCCUAAAAAAAAUCGACAUCGUUGCUGUUUCGCGGUGGCGUUCGUCGGAAAUUGGGUUAUUUUAAACCUUUGUUUAAGCGAACUAAAAUUUUUCUUACGAUUUCAUUAAAGUUUUCCAGAUUUUAUUUCUUUCACGUUUUAGGUA
rnacentral:misc_RNA from 1 species